AAGAAAGUACAUAAGGGCGUAUGGCGGAUGCCUAGGCUCUUGGAGGCGAAGAAGGACGUGGACAGCUGCGAUAAGCUGCGGUGAUCGGCCAACACGAUUUGACCCGCAGAUUUCCGAAUGGGGCAACCCGGCGCAUAGCGAUAUGCGUCACACCUUAGGGUGGGCAAACCCUCUGAACUGAAACAUCUAAGUAGGAGGAGGAGAAGAAAGAAACAUCGAUUUCCCUAGUAGCGGCGAGCGAAGCGGAAAGAGCCUAAACCUGUACUGUUACGGCAGUGCAGGGGUUGUAGGACUGCAACAUUGAAGCACCAUCAAACUGGAACUGAACUGGAAAGUUUGACCAUAGAGCGUGAUAGUCGCGUACAGGUAAGUUUAGGUGUGGAUCAGCAGUAUCCUGAGUAGGGCGGGACACGAGGAAUCCUGUCUGAAUCUGCCGGGACCACCCGGUAAGGCUAAAUACUCCCAAGAGACCGAUAGUGAACGAGUACUGUGAAGGAAAGGUGAAAAGAACCCUGAAUAAGGGAGUGAAAAAGAACCUGAAACCGUACGCCUACAACCGGUCGGAGCCACUACGUGUGGUGACGGCGUGCCUUUUGCAUAAUGAGCCUACGAGUUACUGAUCACUAGCGAGGUUAAGCACUUUAAAGUGCGGAGCCGAAGCGAAAGCGAGUCUGAAUAGGGCGUUUGAGUUAGUGGUCGUAGACGCGAAACCUUGCGAUCUACCCUUGGCCAGGAUGAAGUUUGGGUAAAACCACAUGGAGGUCCGAACCGAUAAGCGUUGAAAAGCUUCCGGAUGAGCUGAGGGUAGGGGUGAAAGGCUAAUCAAGCUGGGAAAUAGCUCGUACUCCCCGAAAUGCCUUUAGGGGCAGCGUUCUGGGUGUCUGUUGGAGGUAGAGCUACUGGUUGGAUGCGGGGGCUUCACCGCCUACCAAAUCCUGUCAAACUCCGAAUGCCAACAGUAUUAAACCAGAGCAGUGAGCGGCCGGGUGCUAAUGUCCGGCCACGAGAGAGGAACAACUCAGACCAGCAACUAAGGUCCCCAAGAAUACACUAAGUCGAUCUAACGAUGUUUUGUUGCAGCGACAGCUAGGAUGUUAGCUUGGAAGCAGCUAUUCAUUUAAAGAGUGCGUAACAGCUCACUAGUCGAGCGACAGAGCGUGGAUAAUAACCGGGCGUCAAGUGUAUCACCGAAGUUCUGGGCAUGUAUUAAUACAUGCGGUAGGGGAGCAUUCUAUUUGCGUCGAAUCCGAACUGUGAGGUUUGGUGGAGCGGAUAGAAAAGCAAAUGUAGGCAUGAGUAACGAUAAGGCGGGAGAGAAACCCGCCCACCGUAAGACCAAGGUUUCCCGGGCCACGCUAAUCGGCCCGGGGUUAGUCGGGACCUAAGGGUAAGCCGAAAGGUGAUCUCGAUGGACAAUCGGUUAAUAUUCCGAUACUGACUGUAACUGCGAUGGAGAGACGGAGAAGCGUAAGCCACGCGGGCGGACGGAAGUGCCCGUUAAAGUGUGUAGGUAUAGGUUGCCGUUAAUAGCGAUGACUUGCUGAAACAUGACAGUACCGAGAGCCUACGGGUGAUCGGAUAGUUGGCCCAAGCCUGCUUCCAAGAAAAACUUCUAAGCUUCAGGUUACAGUUACCCGUACCGUAAACCGACACAGGUGGUCGAGGAGAGUAUCCUCAGGUGCUCGAGUGAAUCACGGUUAAGGAACUAGGCAAAUUGACCCCGUAACUUAGGGAGAAGGGGUCCCUACGCGAGUAGGGCGCAGCGAAAAGGUCCAGGCGACUGUUUAGCAAAAACACAGGGCUAUGCCAACUAGUAAUAUGAAGUAUAUGGCCUGACACCUGCCCGGUGCUGGAAGGUUAAGAGGGGAUGUCAUCGCAAGAGAAGCAUUGAAUCGAAGCCCCAGUAAACGGCGGCCGUAACUAUAACGGUCCUAAGGUAGCGAAAUUCCUUGUCGGGUAAGUUCCGACCUGCACGAAUGGUGUAACGAUCUGGACACUGUCUCAACCGUGAGCUCGGUGAAAUUGUAGUCCCGGUGAAGAUGCCGGGUACCCGCAACGGGACGAAAAGACCCCGUGAACCUUUACUGCAGCUUCACGCUGAAUUUGGGUAUACGAUGUGUAGGAUAGGCAGGAGACUAAGAAGCAGGUACGCCAGUAUUUGUGGAGUCGCCGUUGAAAUACUGCCCUUUGUGUAUUUGAAUUCUAACCCUGAAAAGGGGACACCGUGUGGUGGGUAGUUUGACUGGGGUGGUCGCCUCCAAAAGAGUAACGGAGGCUUCCCAAGGUACCCUCAACACGAUUGGUAACCGUGUGUAGAGUGCAAUAGCAUAAGGGUGCUUGACUGUGAGACUUACAAGUCGACCAGGUGCGAAAGCAGGGUAUAGUGAUCCGGUGGUUCUGUGUGGACUGGCCAUCGCUCAAAGGAUAAAAGGUACUCCGGGGAUAACAGGCUGAUCGCCGCCAAGAGCUCAUAUCGACGCGGCGGUUUGGCACCUCGAUGUCGGCUCGUCACAUCCUGGGGCUGGAGAAGGUCCCAAGGGUUCGGCUGUUCGCCGAUUAAAGUGGCACGCGAGCUGGGUUCAGAACGUCGUGAGACAGUUCGGUCUCUAUCUGUUGUGGGCGUUGGAAAUUUGAGGAGACCUGACCUUAGUACGAGAGGACCGGGUUGGACGAACCUCUGGUGUAUCGGUUAUGCCGCCAGGUGUACUGCCGAGUAGCCACGUUCGGGAAGGAUAAGCGCUGAAAGCAUCUAAGCGCGAAGCCUACUCCAAGAUUAGAUUUCCCUUGAGGGUCGUGGGAGACUACCACGUUGAUAGGCCGUAGGUGUAAAGGCAGUAAUGUCAAAGCCGAGCGGUACUAAUUACCCGAUAGACUUUCUUAU
rnacentral:rRNA from 1 species